UACACCUGAUCCUCGUCUGAUCUAAGGAUAGUGUCCCUUCCUCCAGGAAUCUUACUCUGGUGUCCUGAAGCCAGGCGGGGUGGCUUUUCUGUGUUCCUAUGGAACUCUAUGCUCACUUGCAGGCCAUGAAUUUGCAUAUCUUGCUGUGAUCGUCCACCUACGGGUCCCCUCUCUGAACUGAAAUUCUUUCUCUCCAUUUAAUGCACAGUAGCAAUUCUAUAACUGGCAGUGCACUAUAUAAUAAUACGUGCUCAGUAAAUGGCAUUGACUGGUCAAACAUCACAGUGUGGUCUUUUACACACAUUAUCUUACUCAAUCUUAAAAACAACAUUAAAAGAAUUCAGAGGUCAAGACACUGCCAGCUUCACAAAGCUAAUAGUGGCUGGAACCAAAAUUCAAAUCUGGAUCUCAGAACACAAGCACAAAGUACUGAGUUUGACAGCCCACAACAAUGCAGAAGCCUUCUGCUUAGCCUAAGUGAUCUUUUGGAAAUGGUUGUUACUAUUUUAUAUGAAUCUGACCAACACCUAGCAAGCUGGGUGUGAGACAAGGCAAAAACAGCCCAGUGAAACUUGGUCAUUUUCACUUCUAGACCCACAGUGGACUGUGUGUAGAGGUUGACUCUGCCUCCAAACUCGACUUAUAGUGAAAAGCAUUCAUGUAGGACAGGAUAUGCAGAUUUCAUCAAGAAAGAAAUAGGCCUAAGAGGGUUUUAGGAGUUACUGAAGGCCUCAUAGAGUCCUGAGAUGCAGCUAAAAUAGGAAAUGCAAGUCCACUCCAAAGUCAGAAAACUGCUUGCAAAGGUCGACAUCUACUCUAUCAUUUAAACCAAGGACCAAACUCCCUUUCUGCCUGGAAAUUUCCUUCAUUAUGGUCACACACUCUUUAGUGAUGCUGUGAGUCCCAAUUGGCCAUUCACAGUUGUACUUUAUUAAUAGUUUUUUAAGGAUACAUUGGUUUUAAGUUAAGGGAAAAGUUCUUUUCUUUUUUUAGAGCAAAACAAAUACCACCGUCCUCCACAAUGUGGAUUGGAUGAAGUUAUUAUGCUGAAAAUGAUAUUAUCAUUAUUCAUCUUUGCUAAUGUGUGAGUGACUAACCCAAACUCCCUCUGCAUCUACAUAGUAGAAUACAAAAAGUCACUUUGAGGUCCUUGAAGGGUGUAGGGAAUAGAUAAAAGUUUGCAUGAGGUAAUGGCAUUUUCAUUUAUUUCCUGAAAUUUGUUUGAGGCCCAUGUUCAUUAGACAGAUAGGGCUUAUGUCCUUCCCUCCAUCACCGUGUUUGAACAGAAUGGAAUCUUCCACAAAGUCUCUCCUGACGAUAAGCGCCACUGUUCACUUGUUUCAUGUGAUUGCAUCUUUAGCACUGCAGAUGCACUGAUUCACACAGCAAAUCAUCUGCUUAGAUGUUCACACUUUUGAGGGAGGGAUUGUAUAUGGGAAAAUCCUACUUGAUAGAGUGGUGAAUUGUGGGAAGCCGCCUAUGAUGGCGCCCAUUUCCUGCUUCCGGGUUCUUCCCGGCCUGAACAAGCCCGCCAAAUUGUCAUGUCUGCCCAGUUACCCGUGACGCUAGCCUAUCAGCUUGUUAGACGCGCUUCUCUGUGAUUGGAUACUGCUUCCCCUUAUAAGAGGUUGUUCCUGCCCCCAACAGGCAGAAGAGGAACCAACGUUGAGGGUGGCGGACCUUGUUAGGUCCGGUUCGCUGUACGCAAUAAAGUUUGAGAGCUGAUCCUGCUCGAGUUUGGUCUCCUGUCUCCCGCGGCUCCGGUCAUCUGGUGGCCCGUACGGGGACUCAAAGAAGACUCAGCGACGUGCCUCUUCGGCCGGGAGGUGCGAUUGCUGUCACCUGCGGUACGACGGAGGACCUGGCCCAAUAAAAACGGAAGGCCCCGAGCGCCUCUUCUCUUCACCCUGAUCAGCUACGUGAGAUACAGCGGUUCCCGGGACAGGAACCAGGCUGCGAACCGCUGUGGGUCCCGGAAAGAUUGACACGAGCAGUAAACUCCCCACCAGUUCCUGAUAAAGCACAGGAGGAUAAGCCCGCGGACACAAGUCAACUCGACCCUUCUGGGACCGACGCUCAGCGCCCGAGACCAUCUACAAACUAAAAUGUCUGGUUUGGAGCCUUUUCUAUUCUGUGGGUUCCUAUUAAUCACCCCUGUUCGCACAAAUUUGACCAACACUGCUAAAAAUAUGACAGCUUGGCUGCAAGACACCUACCUACCUAAGUUUCACAAUUUGUCCCUCAUAGUCGGUCAGGAACUUGACAAUAUGGACGGUAUCCAACUAGGUCCAGUCAGGGGUUCUCCUGGCCCAACCUGACUACUUGGAUCCUGAUUGCCGUGGCCAUCCUAGUGGGGCUUGUGGUUAUUAAAUGCUUGUUAGAUCGCCUCAUACAAACUCAGCAGCAGGUUAAGAUCACAGCUAUGGCAGCCAUGCAAAUGGCAGCAGGUGGCCCAUCAGGCCAGCAGGCCGCCGCAUAUCUCCUUCACAUUGCAGAACAUCAGCUAUAAGAGCUGAGUGGGCAAGCCAAUGACAGGCUCCACUCAGAUAUACAUGGCCUAUAAGGCCAGGGGUCCCUCCCGGAGUCAAAUUAUUGGCAUUGAGAUGCGAGACCAAGGGUACUGCAGUGCCAUCCGCCCCAAAGGUUGGGGGGAAGGCAGGAAUGAAUGUCUAUAUGCAUCCAGGUUCGGUUCACAAAAGCCUGGCCCUGCAAAAAAAUGAACCACUCACCUUGAGCAUGGUCCUGGCGCAAGGAUAUGCACAAAACAGGGUGAUGCACAGCAGGGUAUAGACCUCUACAUUCUCUCAUGCCUCGGCCUACAAGGUAGGCCCACUCCUAGGUGUCUAACAGCAACAAGGUCAUAGACACCUUGGAGGGACCCACAGACCAUCCUAUUUUAAUAAAUAAAAAAGGGGGAGAUGUGGGAAGCCGCCUAUGAUGGCGCCCAUUUCCUGCUUCCGGGUUCUUCCCAGCCUGAACAAGCCCGCCAAAUUGUCAUGUCUGCCCAGUUACCCGUGACGCUAGCCUAUCAGCUUGUUAGACGCGCUUCUCUGUGAUUGGAUACUGCUUCCCCUUAUAAGAGGUUGUUCCUGCCCCCAACGGGCAGAAGAGGAACCAACGUUGAGGGUGGCGGACCUUGUUAGGUCCGGUUCGCUGUACGCAAUAAAGUUUGAGAGCUGAUCCUGCUCGAGUUUGGUCUCCUGUCUCCCGCGG